UACGUAGGGAGCUAGCGUUGUUCGGAAUCACUGGGCGUAAAGGGAGCGUAGGUGGGAGGAUAAGUUAGAAGUUAAAUGUACGGGCUUAACCCGUAAUCUGCUUUUAAUACUGUUCUUCUUGAGUAUGGGAGAGGAUGAUGGAAUUCCAGGUGUAGCGGUGGAAUGCGUAGAUAUCUGGAAGAACACCAGUUGCGAAGGCGGUCAUCUGGCCCAAUACUGACACUGAGGCUCGAAAGCUAGGGGAGCAAACAGG
rnacentral:rRNA from 1 species